UACGAAGGGGGCUAGCGUUGCUCGGAAUCACUGGGCGUAAAGGGUGCGUAGGCGGGUCUUUAAGUCAGAGGUGAAAUCCUGGAGCUCAACUCCAGAACUGCCUUUGAUACUGAGGAUCUUGAGUUCGGGAGAGGUGAGUGGAACUGCGAGUGUAGAGGUGAAAUUCGUAGAUAUUCGCAAGAACACCAGUGGCGAAGGCGGCUCACUGGCCCGAUACUGACGCUGAGGCACGAAAGCGUGGGGAGCAACAGGAU
rnacentral:rRNA from 1 species